rnacentral:misc_RNA from 1 species
UUCGUUUCGGUUCGGUUUGUCUUUUGGGGUUCUUCUCGCCUUCGAAAGCGCCGUCCUUCUUCAGUGUUUUCACAUUUUCACGUACAGUUCAAUCGUGAGGUUCAGCCUAGUGAGUUCUGUGUAGUUAAGUCGGAAUAUUUCGUAUAGUUCUCGUCGACUGUCGUCUGACAUUUGUUCUUCUAUUCCGAAACGCUGCAUUGAAAUACAAAAAUAAUACAAACUAGAAUAUUCAACAAAACAAAAAACCAAGGAAACGAAAAACCAAUUAAAAUUUUAACAAAAUAAUAACUCGCUUCAAAAUAUAUUGCAAAUAUAUCAACAAAUUUAAUCAAAUCAAAUUCACCAACAAAUCGAAAACAAACUCUAUUAAUUCGUUUACUCAAAAAUCCAAAAACACAAAACAACCAAAAACCGAUUCAAAUAUAUAACUGUUAAAUCUAAACGAGCAGGCGAUCUACUGGGAAGCGAGAGAGGAAGGGCAUCAGCAGCAGCACUACUACACGCGUGUGUGUUUAAAUACUGGAAAAUACAGAUAAGAUAAAUUAUUAUAGACACUCACGAGUACAUUUAGAGCAGACCAAACCCAGAGACAGACAACCGCAGAGAAUCAAAAGCACUCCAAGAGCAAAUCAAUAAAACAAAAACAAAACCCAAACAACAACAAAAAAAACAACAACAGAAACAACAGAAACAAAGAGAAAAAGCAACUCAAAAAACAAAAUUUUAAAAAAAGUGUUACCAAAAAAAACUUAAAAAAAAAAGAAAAUUAUUUAAAAGACAAAACCCGUACUCGUAACGGUGCAGACAACUGAAAAUACCCAGUGAAAAUUCAGAAAAGCGUUGACCAUUUUUUCUCGCAAAGGCGCCACGUCCAAGAGCAAAUCGUUCCAUAUGGUUCAUAUUAUUGAAUUGGUCGGCCAGCCGAAGGUUGAGUUUGCUCAACAAGUUACUGUAAGUUGCCAUCAUCCAUUAAUACCACCAGCCAUCAAAUUAAUGAACCGUGCUUUACAGCUGAAGCCAGCUGAAAAUGAAAGUCGCAGCGAGCAUCUAGAUCGCAAGCUCUUCGUUGGCAUGCUCAGCAAACAACAGACCGAAGACGAUGUUAGACAAAUCUUCCACCCGUUCGGCUCUAUAGAGGAGUGCACCAUAUUGCGGGGCCCGGACGGUACGAGCAAAGGCUGCGCAUUCGUCAAAUUCGGAACGCAACAGGAGGCUCAGUCAGCAAUAGCCAAUCUACACGGAAGUCAAACUAUGCCGGGUGCAUCCUCCAGCCUGGUCGUCAAAUACGCCGACACAGAGAAGGAACGACAAAUCAGGCGCAUGCAACAAAUGGCCGGUCAUAUGAACCUGCUGAAUCCGUUUGUCUUUAAUCAGUUCAGCCCGUACGGCGCCUACGCUCAGCAACAGCAGCAAGCCGCUCUGAUGGCUGCCGCUGCCACCGCGCCUGGCUCGGCAGCCGCCUACAUGAACCCCAUGGCCGCCCUGGCAACGCAAAUACCUCAUGGCUUGAACGGCACCGGACAGCCGCCCUCUUUGCCCUCGCCGACCAUGCCCAACUUCAGCAUGGGCGCCAACACGCCCAACGGCCAGCCCGGUGGAGCUGCCGCGGCUGCAGCAGCUGCUGCGGCGGACGGGGUCUUCACGAACGGCAUUCCACAAACGGCAUUCCCAGGACAUCCGCUGCAUUUGACUAUACCACCACAAGGUCUGCCAAACGGCGAUGCUGCUACUCUGCAACAUGCCUUCCCUGGGCUGCCACCGUUUCCAGGAGUUGAUUUUCUGAUGUUCCCAGGAUGCUCGAUAUCCGGUCCAGAGGGCUGCAAUCUCUUCAUCUACCAUUUGCCCCAAGAGUUUGGCGAUGCGGAGUUAAUGCAAAUGUUCCUGCCCUUUGGCAAUGUGAUCAGCUCCAAGGUCUUCAUCGAUCGUGCUACAAACCAGAGCAAAUGCUUCGGUUUCGUGUCCUUCGAUAAUCCAGCCAGCGCUCAAGCGGCCAUUCAGGCCAUGAAUGGCUUCCAGAUUGGCAUGAAAAGACUGAAAGUUCAAUUGAAGCGGCCAAAGGAUGCCAGUCGACCCUAUUAACAAUCGGAGUUCCUUAAGUGUAAUUCGCAACAACUACAACUACUUCCUGGAGCACCAACAACAGGAGUAGUCGCAGGAGCAGCCAUGCCACAAACUACAACACAAUUUGCAACAGCAGCAGCAGCAGCAGCAACAGCAUCCACAGCAACAGCAACAGCCACAGCAACAACCACAGUGCACCACUAUAGUCACAGAAGCAGCUUUAGGCCACCAUUUCCCAAUGACAACUCCACUCAUAUGCCGGUAUCAAUUCGCCAGCUGGCGCGAAAUGGUGACCUACUGCUAUCGCUAUAUAGUACCCCGCCAGAAACACUUCCUCCCCAGCCCCAAAAAGCAACCAACAACAGCAACAUCAGCAAGGACAACAACAACAGCACCAACCAACAACAACAGCACCAACAAACACCCACCAGCAGCACCACACCAAACAACAAUAGCAAGCACUGCAGGCAGCAGAAUGGACCGAUUCCCAUCCACAUCCAACUCAACCGGACAUGGCAUCCAAUAGCAACCAGAAGGAACUAUCCAAAGUGGAAUAAGUCGAAAAACUGUUCAAGUGGCAGCAACAAAAGCGAAAGACCUAAAGCCACCAGGACCCCACAAACAGCAACCAUGACAACUGCGACAACAAUAACGAGCGACUACUGAAAGGAUGGUCUUCACCAUGCUAAGUGAAAUGAUUAUAAAAAUUAAACACAUGCAAAAUCGGUGUGUAAAAAAACCUAAAAUAAUAGUAAACAACCAAA